UACGUAGGGGGCUAGCGUUGUCCGGAAUCAUUGGGCGUAAAGCGCGCGUAGGCGGCCCGGUGAGUCCGCUGUGAAAGUCGGGGGCUCAACCCUCGGAUGCCGGUGGAUACUGUCGGGCUUGAGUACGGAAGAGGCGAGUGGAAUUCCUGGUGUAGCGGUGAAAUGCGCAGAUAUCAGGAGGAACACCAAUUGCGAAGGCAGCUCGCUGGGACGUUACUGACGCUGAGACGCGAAAGCGUGGGGAGCAAACAGG
rnacentral:rRNA from 1 species